rnacentral:miRNA from 1 species
UUGGAUGUUCUGGGUCUCACUGAC